CACGUAGGGGGCGAGCGUUGUCCGGAUUUAUUGGGCGUAAAGAGCGUGUAGGCGGCCAGGUAGGUCUGGUGUGAAAACUCGAGGCUUAACCUCGAGAUGUCAUCGGAAACCAUCUGGCUAGAGUCCGGAAGAGGAGAGUGGAAUUCCUGGUGUAGCGGUGAAAUGCGCAGAUAUCAGGAGGAACACCGGUGGCGAAGGCGGGUCUCUGGGCCGAUACUGACGCUGAGGAGCGAAAGCAUGGGUAGCGAACAGG
rnacentral:rRNA from 1 species